AAACGGUAGCUAAUACCGCAUAACGUCGCAAGACCAAAGAGGGGGACCUUCGGGCCUCUUGCCAUCGGAUGUGCCCAGAUGGGAUUAGCUUGUUGGUGGGGUAACGGCUCACCAAGGCGACGAUCCCUAGCUGGUCUGAGAGGAUGACCAGCCACACUGGAACUGAGACACGGUCCAGACUCCUACGGGAGGCAGCAGUGGGGAAUAUUGCACAAUGGGCGCAAGCCUGAUGCAGCCAUGCCGCGUGUAUGAAGAAGGCCUUCGGGUUGUAAAGUACUUUCAGCGGGGAGGAAGGGAGUAAAGUUAAUACCUUUGCUCAUUGACGUUACCCGCAGAAGAAGCACCGGCUAACUCCGUGCCAGCAGCCGCGGUAAUACGGAGGGUGCAAGCGUUAAUCGGAAUUACUGGGCGUAAAGCGCACGCAGGCGGUUUGUUAAGUCAGAUGUGAAAUCCCCGGGCUCAACCUGGGAACUGCAUCUGAUACUGGCAAGCUUGAGUCUCGUAGAGGGGGGUAGAAUUCCAGGUGUAGCGGUGAAAUGCGUAGAGAUCUGGAGGAAUACCGGUGGCGAAGGCGGCCCCCUGGACGAAGACUGACGCUCAGGUGCGAAAGCGUGGGGAGCAAACAGGAUUAGAUACCCUGGUAGUCCACGCCGUAAACGAUGUCGACUUGGAGGUUGUGCCCUUGAGGCGUGGCUUCCGGAGCUAACGCGUUAAGUCGACCGCCUGGGGAGUACGGCCGCAAGGUUAAAACUCAAAUGAAUUGACGGGGGCCCGCACAAGCGGUGGAGCAUGUGGUUUAAUUCGAUGCAACGCGAAGAACCUUACCUGGUCUUGACAUCCACGGAAGUUUUCAGAGAUGAGAAUGUGCCUUCGGGAACCGUGAGACAGGUGCUGCAUGGCUGUCGUCAGCUCGUGUUGUGAAAUGUUGGGUUAAGUCCCGCAACGAGCGCAACCCUUAUCCUUUGUUGCCAGCGGUCCGGCCGGGAACUCAAAGGAGACUGCCAGUGAUAAACUGGAGGAAGGUGGGGAUGACGUCAAGUCAUCAUGGCCCUUACGACCAGGGCUACACACGUGCUACAAUGGCGCAUACAAAGAGAAGCGACCUCGCGAGAGCAAGCGGACCUCAUAAAGUGCGUCGUAGUCCGGAUUGGAGUCUGCAACUCGACUCCAUGAAGUCGGAAUCGCUAGUAAUCGUGGAUCAGAAUGCCACGGUGAAUACGUUCCCGGGCCUUGUACACACCGCCCGUCACACCAUGGGAGUGGGUUGCAAAAGAAGUAGGUAGCUUAACCUUCGGGAGGGCGCUUACCACUUUGUGAUUCAUGACUGGGGUGAAGUCGUAACAAGGUAACCGUAGGGGAACCUGCGGUUGGAUCACCUCCUU
rnacentral:rRNA from 1 species